UACGGAGGUGGCAAGCGUUGCUCGGAAUCACUGGGCGUAAAGGGCGCGUAGGCGGGGAGGUAAGUCGGGUGUGAAAUCCCUCGGCCCAACCGAGGAACUGCGCCCGAGACUGCUUCUCUUGAGUCCCGGAGAGGAAGAUGGAAUUCCCGGUGUAGCGGUGAAAUGUGUAGAGAUCGGGAGGAACACCGGUGGCGAAGGCGGUCUUCUGGACGGUGACUGACGCUGAGGCGCGAAAGCGUGGGGAGCAAAACGGG
rnacentral:rRNA from 1 species